rnacentral:misc_RNA from 1 species
GUAAGAAGACCUAGAGGCUAGUAGCGAAGGAAGGCAAGGCUUCAACGGCGAGGACAUGCAAGAAAUUCUCUAGCAAACGAUCGACAACGGUUGGAAGACAUGGAGAAUACUUGAUUUCAAUGCAAACAAAAAGCUUCAAUGGCAGUCGAUUUGAGGGAUUGUCUUCGUUAAUAGGAAGACAUGCAAGAAAUCCUCAAGCAAACAACUGACAAGAUGAUUGAAGGAUGGAGAAGAGACACAAGAUGGAGAAGAAGAAAUGAAAGGAGCUAGAGAUUUUGAUUUGAGGCGAUGUUUU